UGCUUUUCCUGUGCCCAGUUCCCUCACUCUUACUGGACUUGAACGAAUGAGAACAUCAUCGAGCACCAAAUAAUAAUGAUUUAAAAAUCAUGGGAACAAACAGUGAUAAAAAUGAUACUAUUUGUGGAGGAUCUGUGGGUCUGUUUUUUUUACAAGGAGUAUUUCAUUUGAUUCUCAUCUGAUUUUGUAAGGAAAUUACAAUUACUGUGUUUCUAGCCGGGCAAUGAUCUGCAGGACGUGAGAACUUGUUAGAAAUGCUAAUUCUCAGCCCAUCCAGCCUCCACUGACUUAUAUAUGCUGGGAGGCAAAGUCAAGCCCUUGGUGUUUAACAAGCCCUCCUUGGGGGGGCUGACGCAUGUUCAAGUUUGAGAACCACUGUUUUCAGUACUGCUUUGUAUCCCCGAGUGUGAACUUGAGCGGUUCCCCGUGGCAACUGCUCAAUAACAUACCUUUCUGGGGCCUCCUUCCUUUCCUUGUUUCACAUCUUUACUCUUCAGCUGGGCCUUCCUGGGAUCACCUCCAAACAACUACUUGCAUUUGAAUCCUUGCCUCAAGUCUGCUUCCAGAGAACACCAUCUGAGAGAUCUGCAGGGGAAGUGUGGUUGCCCAGAGAGGAGGAGGAAAGUGGCUGAAAAAUUCAAACAUUUAUAAAAGAAAACAGAAUGGUAUUGUGGACUCCACAGACUUGUCACCCAGCUUCAACAAUGAUCAGCUCAGCGUCAAUCUUGGGUGUCUACUUUUCCCAACCUCCAUCCCUGUCAAUGGAGACACCAUACCAUUGCCUCUGUAAAUAUACUGGUAUGUAUCACAUCAUUAAAAGAUAAGCACUCCUUUAUAAAAUAUAAUCACAAAAAUAUCAUAAAUAUAUGUGUCCAAACCUGAAGGAAGUGCAAAACCCAGAGUGAACCAUGGACUUUGAGUGAUAAUGAAAUUUCCAUGUGGCUUCAUCAGUUGUGACAAAUGUACCACUCUGAUGGGGGUUGUUGGUGAUGGGGGACAGUGUGUAGGGGGGAAGGAGAUACACAGUCAAUCUAUGUUCAAUUUUGCUAUAAUCCUAAAACUAUUCUAAAAAGUCUUUACAAAUAGGACAUAACCACAAUACUGUUAUUAAACUCAACAAUAGUUCCUUGGUACUAUUUGUUUACUGUUGUCUCUCACCCCGAGAGUGCUUUCUGAAUCAUUUGGGUCUGUAUCUUGGUGCCCAGCCCAGCACCA
rnacentral:lncRNA from 1 species